AUUGAACGCUGGCGGCAGGCCUAACACAUGCAAGUCGAGCGGGGUUUUCGGACCUAGCGGCGGACGGGUGAGUAAUGCGUAGGGAGCUGCCCGACAGAGGGGGAUACCAGUUGGAAACGACUGUUAAUACCGCAUAAUGUCUACGGACCAAAGUGUGGGACCUUCGGGCCACAUGCUAUCGGAUGCGCCUACGUGGGAUUAGCUAGUUGGUGAGGUAAUGGCUCACCAAGGCGACGAUCUCUAGCUGGUUUGAGAGGAUGAUCAGCCACACUGGAACUGAGACACGGUCCAGACUCCUACGGGAGGCAGCAGUGGGGAAUAUUGGACAAUGGGCGCAAGCCUGAUCCAGCCAUGCCGCGUGUGUGAAGAAGGCCUUCGGGUUGUAAAGCACUUUCAGCGAGGAGGAAGGGUGGUGUGUUAAUAGCACAUCAUUUUGACGUUACUCGCAGAAGAAGCACCGGCUAACUCUGUGCCAGCCGCCGCCGUAAUAC
rnacentral:rRNA from 1 species